UAGGGAACAUUGGACAAUGGGCGCAAGCCUGAUCCAGCCAUGCCGCGUGAGUGAAGAAGGCCCUCGGGUUGUAAAGCUCUUUUGUCCGGAAAGAAAAGCAUCGGGUUAAUACCCCGGUGUUCUGACGGUACCGGAAGAAUAAGCACCGGCUAACUUCGUGCCAGCAGCCGCGGUAAUACGAAGGAUGCAAGCGUUAUCCGGAUUCAUUGGGUUUAAAGGGUGCGUAGGCGGGCUUGUAAGUCAGUGGUGAAAUCUCUCAGCUUAACUGAGAAACUGCCAUUGAUACUGCAGGCCUAGAGUAUAGAUGACGUUGGCGGAAUAUGACAUGUAGUGGUGAAAUACUUAGAUAUGUCAUAGAACACCGAUUGCGAAGGCAGCUAACGAAACUAUAACUGACGCUGAGGCACGAAAGUGCGGGGAUCAAACA
rnacentral:rRNA from 1 species